GUGUGUUAGUGGAAGCGUCUGGAAAGGCGCGCGAUACAGGGUGACAGCCCCGUACACAAAAAUGCACAUAUUGUGAGCUCGAUGAGUAGGGCGGGACACGUGGUAUCCUGUCUGAAUAUGGGGGGACCAUCCUCCAAGGCUAAAUACUCCUGACUGACCGAUAGUGAACCAGUACCGUGAGGGAAAGGCGAAAAGAACCCCGGCGAGGGGAGUGAAAAAGAACCUGAAACCGUGUACGUACAAGCAGUGGGAGCCUCUUAAUGGGGUGACUGCGUACCUUUUGUAUAAUGGGUCAGCGACUUAUAUUCUGUAGCAAGGUUAACCGAAUAGGGGAGCCGAAGGGAAACCGAGUCUUAACUGGGCGUUAAGUUGCAGGGUAUAGACCCGAAACCCGGUGAUCUAGCCAUGGGCAGGUUGAAGGUUGGGUAACACUAACUGGAGGACCGAACCGACUAAUGUUGAAAAAUUAGCGGAUGACUUGUGGCUGGGGGUGAAAGGCCAAUCAAACCGGGAGAUAGCUGGUUCUCCCCGAAAGCUAUUUAGGUAGCGCCUCGUGAAUUCAUCUCCGGGGGUAGAGCACUGUUUCGGCAAGGGGGUCAUCCCGACUUACCAACCCGAUGCAAACUGCGAAUACCGGAGAAUGUUAUCACGGGAGACACACGGCGGGUGCUAACGUCCGUCGUGAAGAGGGAAACAACCCAGACCGCCAGCUAAGGUCCCAAAGUCAUGGUUAAGUGGGAAACGAUGUGGGAAGGCCCAGACAGCCAGGAUGUUGGCUUAGAAGCAGCCAUCAUUUAAAGAAAGCGUAAUAGCUCACUGGUCGAGUCGGCCUGCGCGGAAGAUGUAACGGGGCUAAACCAUGCACCGAAGCUGCGGCAGCGACACUAUGUGUUGUUGGGUAGGGGAGCGUUCUGUAAGCCUGUGAAGGUGUACUGUGAGGUAUGCUGGAGGUAUCAGAAGUGCGAAUGCUGACAUAAGUAACGAUAAAGCGGGUGAAAAGCCCGCUCGCCGGAAGACCAAGGGUUCCUGUCCAACGUUAAUCGGGGCAGGGUGAGUCGACCCCUAAGGCGAGGCCGAAAGGCGUAGUCGAUGGGAAACAGGUUAAUAUUCCUGUACUUGGUGUUACUGCGAAGGGGGGACGGAGAAGGCUAUGUUGGCCGGGCGACGGUUGUCCCGGUUUAAGCGUGUAGGCUGGUUUUCCAGGCAAAUCCGGAAAAUCAAGGCUGAGGCGUGAUGACGAGGCACUACGGUGCUGAAGCGACAAAUGCCCUGCUUCCAGGAAAAGCCUCUAAGCAUCAGGUAACAUCAAAUCGUACCCCAAACCGACACAGGUGGUCAGGUAGAGAAUACCAAGGCGCUUGAGAGAACUCGGGUGAAGGAACUAGGCAAAAUGGUGCCGUAACUUCGGGAGAAGGCACGCUGAUAUGUAGGUGAAGCGACUUGCUCGUGGAGCUGAAAUCAGUCGAAGAUACCAGCUGGCUGCAACUGUUUAUUAAAAACACAGCACUGUGCAAACACGAAAGUGGACGUAUACGGUGUGACGCCUGCCCGGUGCCGGAAGGUUAAUUGAUGGGGUUAGCGGUAACGCGAAGCUCUUGAUCGAAGCCCCGGUAAACGGCGGCCGUAACUAUAACGGUCCUAAGGUAGCGAAAUUCCUUGUCGGGUAAGUUCCGACCUGCACGAAUGGCGUAAUGAUGGCCAGGCUGUCUCCACCCGAGACUCAGUGAAAUUGAACUCGCUGUGAAGAUGCAGUGUACCCGCGGCAAGACGGAAAGACCCCGUGAACCUUUACUAUAGCUUGACACUGAACAUUGAGCCUUGAUGUGUAGGAUAGGUGGGAGGCUUUGAAGUGUGGACGCCAGUCUGCAUGGAGCCGACCUUGAAAUACCACCCUUUAAUGUUUGAUGUUCUAACGUGGGCCCCUUACCGGGGUUGCGGACAGUGUCUGGUGGGUAGUUUGACUGGGGCGGUCUCCUCCUAAAGAGUAACGGAGGAGCACGAAGGUUGGCUAAUCCUGGUCGGACAUCAGGAGGUUAGUGCAAUGGCAUAAGCCAGCUUGACUGCGAGCGUGACGGCGCGAGCAGGUGCGAAAGCAGGUCAUAGUGAUCCGGUGGUUCUGAAUGGAAGGGCCAUCGCUCAACGGAUAAAAGGUACUCCGGGGAUAACAGGCUGAUACCGCCCAAGAGUUCAUAUCGACGGCGGUGUUUGGCACCUCGAUGUCGGCUCAUCACAUCCUGGGGCUGAAGUAGGUCCCAAGGGUAUGGCUGUUCGCCAUUUAAAGUGGUACGCGAGCUGGGUUUAGAACGUCGUGAGACAGUUCGGUCCCUAUCUGCCGUGGGCGCUGGAGAACUGAGGGGGGCUGCUCCUAGUACGAGAGGACCGGAGUGGACGCAUCACUGGUGUUCGGGUUGUCAUGCCAAUGGCACUGCCCGGUAGCUAAAUGCGGAAGAGAUAAGUGCUGAAAGCAUCUAAGCACGAAACUUGCCCCGAGAUGAGUUCUCCCUGACUCCUUGAGAGUCCUGAAGGAACGUUGAAGACGACGACGUUGAUAGGCCGGGUGUGUAAGCGCAGCGAUGCGUUGAGCUAACCGGUACUAAUGAACCGUGAGGCUUAACCUUACAACGCCGAAG
rnacentral:rRNA from 1 species